GACGAACGCUGGCGGCGUGCUUAACACAUGCAAGUCGAACGAGUGGCGAACGGGUGAGUAACGCGUAGGUAACUACCUAUUAGAGGGGGAUAACUAUUGGAAACGAUAGCUAAUACCGCAUACUAGUGGAUGGACCUGCGGUGUAUUAUAUAGUAGGUAGGGUAAUGGCCUACCUAGGAACCGAUACAUAGCCGACCUGAGAGGGUGAUCGGCCACAAUGGGACUGGGACACGGCCCAUACUCCUACGGGAUGCAGCAGUAGGGAAUCGUCGGCAAUGGGGGGAACACGGACCGAGCAGCGCCGCGUGAGUGAAGAAGGUUUUCGGAUCGUAAAGCGCUGUUGUUAAGGAAGCGGUACUUAACCAGAAAGGGACGGCUAACUACGUGCCAGCAGCCGCGGUAAUAC
rnacentral:rRNA from 1 species